ACCUCAAUUGUACUGGUAAUGAAGAUCACUUGCUUAAUUGUUCACACAGUAAUGCUGCAUUGCACAACUGUCAGUCUCAUAGUGAUGCCAGUGUUGUAUGUCAAAGAAUUAUUCAUCAAGCUAACUGCACUAAUGGUGACGUGAGGCUGGUUGAUGGUAGCACAGAAGAUGAUGGUAGAGUUGAAGUAUGUAUCACUGAGGCAUGGGGAAGCAUCUGCUCCUAUGGCUGGAAUGUGCAUGAUGCUUUUGUUGUAUGCAAGCAAUUAGGUUAUAUUGGUGGAAGAGUUCAAAGCAUCUCCUCUGGAGUUGGUCCUGUUCUUAUGUCACAUUUAUAUUGCAAUGGAA